CCUGAACGCUGGCGGCGUGGCUAAGACAUGCAAGUCGCACGGGACCCGCAAGGGUUCAGUGGCGCACGGGUGAGUAAUGUAUCGCUAAUGUACCCCUGAGCUUGGGAUAGCUGUCCGAAAGGACAGGUAAUACCAGAUGAAAUAACCAGGUCGCAUGACCAGGUUCUCAAAGCCGCAAGGCACUCUAGGAGCAGGCGAUAUCGUAUCAGGUUGUUGGUAGGGAACGGCCUACCAAGCCGACGACGCGUAGCUGGUCUGAGAGGACGGCCAGCCACAUCGGGACUGAGACACUGCCCGGACUCCUACGGGGGGCUNCAGUAACGAAUCUUCCGCAAUGCACGCAAGUGUGACGGAGCGACGCCGCGUGUGGGACGAAGCCCUUCGGGUGG
rnacentral:rRNA from 1 species